UACGUAGGUGGCAAGCGUUGUCCGGAUUUACUGGGCGUAAAGCGUGCGUAGGUGGUUCGUUAAGUCUGAUGUGAAAGCCCUGGGCUCAACCUGGGAACUGCAUUGGAUACUGGCGAUCUGGAGUGCGGUAGAGGGUGGCGGAAUUCCCGGUGUAGCAGUGAAAUGCGUAGAUAUCGGGAGGAACAUCCGUGGCGAAGGCGGCCACCUGGACCAGCACUGACACUGAGGCACGAAAGCGUGGGGAGCAAACAGG
rnacentral:rRNA from 1 species